GGACUUCAGGAUCCUCUCCCUGAUUCCAUGUUGGAAUGUUGCCAGGCCCCGUCUUCUACACAUCUGGUGCAGGUGACCACGGCUUCUGAGAAUUCAUGGCAGCCCUGGAUACACCACGCCCAGAAGACGGUGCUUCAUAAACUGCUGCUGCUCUCCAGCUGGUCCCUCUUCUGAGAUAGUCACUGAGCUGUGGGGGUGUGGAUUCCAUGGCUAUGCACCUGGAGCCCCGACCUGACUGGCAUCCUGGGAGGCUAGGCUGGAAGGACCCAGAAGCUUCCAGAGUCUCUGCGUCAGAUCCAUGGCAGGAGGGCAUCGCUCAGGACUAAGCUGCCGGAAGAACAAAGGGUUCCAGAUUUCCCCAGAAUAAUUAUCCGUCUGCAGAGGUUGACUACAGAUUUGUUCUCAAGCCGCCUGUCCUGCUGACACACACGCUUCUCACCGGAAUGGCCAACACACAGACAUGUUUACACCUCGACACGUUCUGUAGGAACGUUUUCCUUAUGGAAGAUUUACCAUGGGGCCCUUGAUCGAGAUCCUUCAACCACAGCGUCUCAUAACUUCAUUCAGAUGUAGUUGAAAACUGAUUGGUUAUCACAGACUUUAGAAUUUUGUGCCUAAGUGAGAAGGCCCAGAACUCUGUCAUCUCCACAGUUCUUAUUCAAACGAAAGGUCCAUUCGGUGGGGACCUGCAGCUCUUCUCCUACCAUCACCCUCGGAAGACAGUUCCACAGAUAGCUCUAGGUGGGGUGUGUGAAGGAACAGGCUCAACAGGGCUGAGCACACACACAAAUAGAAGCCGGGGAAGUAAGACUUCCAAGCUAACCCAUAAAUGGAUCUUUUUCUUGACUUUCCUGAUAAAAAUUUAGAUUUCUAGUAACUUCACUGUGUUUUUCUG